GACAGAGGGGGCAAGCGUUGCUUGGAAUUACUGGGCGUAAAGGGCGCGUAGGCGGAAUGGCAAGUCGGUCGUGAAAUCCUUCGGCUCAACCGAAGAACGUCGAUCGAAACUGCCGUUCUUGAGGAUUGCAGAGGAGACUGGAAUUCCCGGUGUAGCGGUGAAAUGUGUAGAGAUCGGGAGGAACACCGGUGGCGAAGGCGGGUCUCUGGGCAAUUCCUGACGCUGAGGCGCGAAAGCGUGGGGAGCAAACGGG
rnacentral:rRNA from 1 species